ensembl:lincRNA
GGCAUGUGGCGGCCCCUCUCCCCAGCAGGCCCAUCCUUCCUUCCUUCUUUCAACGGGUCCUGAACCUCCAUGAGGCCCAGUUUGCUGGGCCCCUGUUAUCACAAGUUCAGAGUACCAGUUGUUCUGCCAAUUCCUGUAUUCAUCCAGUCAACAGAUAAUUCCACAGUACAGAGCAAAGCGGAGAAAAACUGCAACGUGGCACCUUCCCAGGAGACAAGACAGAGAACAAACAAUGAGCAACUAAGCAAAAAGGGUUUUCCUGAAACAAACUCUCAUCAUCUGAGAAAACCUGCAUGCGCCUCUGCUCUCUGCACCCCAGAGGGAACCAGCAGUGUGCCCUGGGAAAAGCUGGGGCCCCACAGGUCCCAGUCUCUGAACAGGGUCUCGUAUAAAGAAGCACCGUCCAGUGACUGUUGCAGCGUGCACUGGCAUCUCGAAGACGGCAUCAACGAGGUCGCAGAAAAAAGCAACAACAUGGACCACUCGCCAGCGUCUCUUUGAACAGAGGAGCUACUGCUAUCUAAGGAGCCAACACUCUUUCCUUCAGCCAGAUCAAGGUCCUUGUCACUCACAGCCAACACCACAACUGACACAAAAGGGAAGGACGGAAAACAAUUGUGGAGAAAGCCGUCUGGAUGGAGCCAGCAGCUUUACCUUGGCCACCAUCUCAUUUCCAAAGAGCAGAUGCACGCGGAGGGGUGUAGUGUGAAGGAAGGCCUGGCGGGAUUAGCUAAUGAAUCGGAUAGCAGUGUAGUGAAAGAGACCCUCAGGAAUGACUUCAGGUUUUUGGGCUAAAGAAUUGCAAGAAUGGAACCAUGAAUGGAGAUGUUGGUUUAGACCAGUCGCCCUCUGGACCAAGCUGCUGUGAGCAUGGAUUUAACAAAACGUCAGCCCCACUGGGUGUGAUUUUCAAGUAUGAAUUCAAAACCUAUGGUGAGUUUCUACCAGUUUAAUCAAAAGUCCUUUUAUUUCGUUCUGGGUAAACACAGCUCGGUCUGGGAUUUGCAUGCAAAGCAGUGGCUUUGACUUUCUUUUCAUUUUUUUUAUAGCAGUUUUCCUCCAGUUAUGAGAAAACCAUUUUUGCUUAUUGACCUGCUAAAAUGUCGGCAUUAUAAAUCAAAUCACUUGCAAAAAAUUCUCCAAAGCAUAAUUUUUCAAAGCUUUCAUCCCUAAAGAAGUCAAUGUAUAAGGAAUGAGUGGUGAAUGAGCCAGCAUCCUCUUUUCCUCUCUAGAAGAGGUAGAACAUCCUGGGCUGGGAGACGGAGGAAGAGAAGUAAGAGGCUGGAUGGUGGGCAGCUUCUGAGAAGGGGCUUCAUGUUCUGCCCUUCCUGGGUGAGUUUCAUGGAAAGUCCCCCAUGCAGGAACAAAUCAGAGAGGCCUGGAGCGGUGGGAGCUCAAGGGCAGAGCCAUGAGCUGCGCUAAGGUGACAGAGGAAACAUGGCUGGUUUGUGUCGUGUCUGCAUCUGAGCAGAGAGCUUGCUUCUGCUUUGUGAGUUUCUCCAGCCCUGAGUGGGGAGUGGAGCAGCCUCUUCUCCCACCCUACCCCUGUGUCCAGGGAUGCUCAGAAGUCCCCAAAGUAAAGGCAGA